CAAGACCCAGGAGCAUGAGCUGUCCACUGGAGAAAAAGAUAGUUCUUGCAUCAGAAUGGACAGUCCCCUUCAAGUCUGAAAAGAGCUGGUUUAAGUCCCAGCUGCUCUUUGUGAACCAGGACUGAACAUAUCUUUGUACCCUCUACCUCCAACACGAGGCCUGGAACUUGACACGCCAAGGCUAUUCUGAGCAUGGAAAUGUGUGACACUCCACCAUCUUAUCCAAGUGGACUAUGCAAGAUUUCCAUCUCCCCAUUUCCAC